rnacentral:lncRNA from 1 species
GAAUAUUUAAGACUUCAAGACUCCAUGUCUAAGUUAUAGAGUCUGUAUUAAGGUUGUGAAAAUUGUAAUUUUCGUUUAUUGGAUCGAUCAUGCAGGAGAUUGUCGUUUGGUGAUUGCGAUGAUCUUCUUUUUAUUGUUUCUGAGUUGUGUACGAGCUUUGUAGUAUAUUUUGUCACGAAAUCGCCAAAGGGGGAGAUUGUUAAGGAUUUUAUAGGUUGGCGGAUUUCGUAGAGUUGAAUGGAGUCUUGAAGAGUUGAUCGCGGAAGUUUGAAGAAAAGAUUCAAAUUGAAGAACAAAGACUCAUUCGGAAAGCUCGGCACUUCAGGUAUGAAGAAUAGAUGAUUUAUGGUGAAGAUGUUUAAUUGUAAUAAGUUCAGAAGGCUUAGAUUGCUUUAAAACUCUUUUACUGAACUUUUAUGU